rfam:Cavia porcellus supercont2_4 genomic scaffold, whole genome shotgun sequence.
GAGGAUUUAGCUCAGCGGCAUAAGCACCUGCCUUGAAAGCAGGCAGUCCUGAGUUCGAUCCCCGGUACUGUUA